rnacentral:lncRNA from 1 species
AUUUCUGCACUUGGGAUUUCCUUUACUCAAAGAUGCUCAAAGGAAGCAGUUUAAUGCAAACUCUCAAUAUGUCACAUUUUGGCAGUGAUUGCUUAAUGCAGCAGUGCACAAAUGAAUUGCUCCACUGCAUCCUCUGAUCACGAAUAUGAAUCGGAGUACUAUAAACUGAACUCAAUGUACUGAUAAGUGACUGCCUCUGAUUGUGCCAGCAGCCAGAUGAUUUUCUCAUUAAUGAGCUGAACUAUUAAAAGAUGGAAGAACAUGAAGCCAAGCCAGCAUUGCCUGAGCCUCUUUGCUGACAUUUUUCCAGGCCUACCAGAAAGCUUUGUCAACCAGUGAAAAAAAAAAUCUUAUAUGAAUAAAGACAAAUAAAAGCCUCAAGACUCUCUGCUAUUCUGUGUAUAGGAGUGCAUGGCUGCCAGGACAAGACAGAGAACCUCAUUCAGCUGAGCAGAACUUCUAAAUUCAUUAAACUGAGAGCCACAGAUUUAUGGAAGGCAUGUGGCAAAUACAUCCUUUGCAAUAACAGUGCUGCUGUGAGAGUUUUGCUAAUUGUCAUAGCCAACUACAUUUCUAAGAGGCUACACAUCUUGCAGAUUUUUCAAGGUCGACGAGUCCCUUACAAAUUUUCAGAGUGGUCAGCUCAUUUCUUGGUUCCUUAUUUCCUGGUGCCAUUCUGUGAGUUAAGAUUUUGUACUGUGAGAACAGAUUUUAACAUCUCCUGUAAGACAGAAAUGUCUUCUCUGAAGCACACAGCAUGUUGUUCCAAAGCAACAACUUUAUUAAUAAGGAAAACCCAGAGUAUACAAAAUGUUAAAAAUAUAAUAGUCAAAUACACUAGAAAAAGCAAUUUGACAAUUAAAACAGAAAGAAAUGUUAAAAAUAUAAUAGUCAAAUACACUAGUAAAAGCAAUUUGACAAUUAAAACAGAAAGAUGAACUAUAUCAGGAAGAAAGUUAUACAAGAGUAAAGUAAAAGCACUUACACAAUCAGCAUUUACACUGACGGUUGGUUACACAGUGAUAUCAUCAAAA